rnacentral:rRNA from 1 species
AUUGAACGCUGGAGGUAUGCUUAACACAUGCAAGUCGAACGCGAACGUUUCUUCGGAAACAAGUAGAGUGGCGGACGGGUGAGUAACGCGUAGGAAUAUACCUAGUAGUGGGGGAUAACAUGGAGAAAUUCAUGCUAAUACCGCAUAUGUCUUACGAGAUAAAGAGGGCCUCUUCUUGAAAGCUCUUGCUAUUAGAUUAGCCUGCGUCGGAUUAGCUUGUUGGUGAGGUAAUGGCUCACCAAGGCGACGAUCCGUAGCUGGUCUGAGAGGAUGAUCAGCCACACUGGGACUGAGACACGGCCCAGACUCCUACGGGAGGCAGCAGUGGGGAAUAUUGGACAAUGGCGCAAGCCUGAUCCAGCAAAUACCUCGUGUGUGAAGAAGGCCC